rnacentral:rRNA from 1 species
GACGAACGCUGGCGGCGUGCUUAACACAUGCAAGUCGAACGGAAAGGCCCUGCUUUUGUGGGUUGCUCGAGUGGCGAACGGGUGAGUAACACGUGAGUAACCUGCCCUUGACUUUGGGAUAACUUCAAGAAACUGGGGCUAAUACCGGAUAGGAGCUCCUGCUGCGUGGGGGGGGUUGGAAAGUUUCGGCGGUUGGGGAUGGACUGGCGGCUUAUCAGCUGGUUGGUGGGGUAGGUGCUUACCAGGGCUUUGACGGGUAGCCGGCCUGAGAGGGUGACCGGCCACAUUGGGACUGAGAUACGGCCCAGACGCCUACGGGAGGCAGCAGUGGGGAAUAUUGCACAACGGGCGGAAGCCUGAUGCAGCAACGCCGCGUGCGGGAUGCCGGCCUUCGGGUUGUAAACCGCUUUCGCCUGUGACGAAGCGGGAGUGACGGUAAUGGGUAAAGAAGCACCGGCUAACUACGUG